rnacentral:rRNA from 1 species
UACAGAGGGUGCAAACGUUGCUCGGAUUUACUGGGCGUAAAGCGCGUGUAGGCGGUUUGGAAAGUCGUAUGUGAAAGCCCUCGGCUUAACCGAGGAAGUGCAGACGAAACUGCCAGACUUGAGUUCCGAAGAGGUUGGCGGAAUGCGCAGUGUAGAGGUGAAAUUCGUAGAUAUUGCGUAGAACACCGGUGGCGAAGGCGGCCAACUGGGAGGAUACUGACGCUGAGACGCGAAAGCGUGGGGAGCAAAC